ACAGGCGAAGCCGAAAACCUGCAGAAAAGAGUAGGCA
rfam:Bacteroidetes bacterium 43-16 scnpilot_expt_750_bf_scaffold_245, whole genome shotgun sequence.